rnacentral:rRNA from 1 species
AUUGAACGCUGGUGGCAGGCCUAACACAUGCAAGUCGAGCGAGCGGCGGACGGGUGAGUAAUGUCUGGGAAACUGCCUGAUGGAGGGGGAUAACUACUGGAAACGGUAGCUAAUACCGCAUACCAUCAGAUGUGCCCAGAUGGGAUUAGCUAGUAGGUGGGGUAACGGCUCACCUAGGCGACGAUCCCUAGCUGGUCUGAGCGGCUGGCCAUCCACACUGAGAAUGAGACGCGGUCCAGAGUCCGGCGGGAGGCAGCGGUGGGGAAUAUUGGACAAUGGGAGAGGGCCUGAUGCAGCCAUGCCGCGUGUGUGCAGAAGGCCUUCGGGUUGAAAAGAACUUUCGGGGGGGGGGCGUUACCCGCAGAAGAAGCACCGGCUAACUCCGUGCCAGCAGCCGCGGUAAUU